rnacentral:lncRNA from 1 species
GAAGGGAGGAGAGAGAGAGGGAGGUUGCAUCAGCACGGAGACUCCAGUGACUCAAUGAUAUCAGGAAAUUUCUGAAACAGGAGAGGAGGCAAAAGAAGAAGAAGAAGAAGAAGAAGAAGAAGAAGAAGAAGAAGAAGAAGGGGGAGGAGGGGGAGGAGGGUGUAUAAAGGCAGCAGUGGGGAGUGAAGCUGCUGCAUUUGAAGAUGUUUCUGCUCCUCGUCAGGUGGUCUGCUCUCUCUCUGCUCCUCUUCUUCACUGACGGGCUGCUGGCUGCAGAGCGAGGCCUCAGCUGCAGGCAGGAGAUCCCUGCAGAGAUGAUCCGGGAGCUGUGGAGCCGCAGCACGCAGCUCGUACACAAGCUGCCGAAAGAAGAAAAAUUCUCCGGGCGACACAGAAUUCUGCCAAACUUCUGCACCAAAUGUUCUCAGCGUGUGAUUGGCUGGCUGGAGAUGCGGGAAUUGAUGGACGUCUACCAGAGGAGCG